GUUGUACUCCCUCCGUCCGGAAAUACUCGUCAUCAAAAUGGAUAGAAGGGGAUGUAUCUAGAUGUAUUUUAGUUCUAGAUACAUCUCUUUUUAUCCAUUUUGAUGACAAGUAUUUUCGGAUGGAGGGAGUAUACU
rfam:Triticum aestivum genome assembly, contig: Triticum_aestivum_CS42_TGACv1_scaffold_375937_5AL